GAUUUUUACCUGAUCUAAUCUUUAUUCUGAUGAUUGCAAAACUGCACUCUCUCCAUGCUUACCGUGUGGCACUUGGCAUCCUGCUGUGAGCAAGAGCCCUUCCCUCUCUUCGCUGCAAGAGGUUCCAGGCUCACCUCGUGUGUGUCCUGUUCCAGCCUUGGAUUUAGUCAUUUCUCCAAGGAGAUGGUUUCUUUUACCAGCGAAUGGCUUUAGAGACCAAAAUCGGACUGCUGGGUGUGUUCAUUGCCAUUGGAGUGCCUUUGCUCAUGGUUACUGUGUGUCUUUGCUUCCAGACCUACUCAGUGAAGAAACAGAGGAACUAUGAAUGUGAAGAUACCCAUACACAUAUACACAAAUGGGCAUGUAUUUCUGUGACACACAUACAUAUUUUAGAAAUCUUGAGUUCCUACCAUGUCUGCUUUUCCAGGCCAUCUGCACAGGGUUCUUCUCUCUUGCCUCCUGCAUUCCAUACUUGGGUGGCCCUCCUUCUAUGGUGAGCAGCCUGGCUGUUAACAUCUGCACGUUUACUCCAUUGCUUGGUCCUGAAUUACAUCUAAAAGAGAACCAGGGUUGCCUGCUCCCCUACUACCAAAAGCCAUAAUGAAGGUUAGGAUUUGUUUGCCGUUCUGUCCCAAGUUUCCUCCCCGAGCUGGAAACUCGAGGGUAUAUAUAUAGUUGAAAUCUCAAAUACUGCAUUCAUGCAUUACUUGGGUUUUGUGGUUAUAGUUAGGGAAGUGCUGCCCCCAUAUUUUAUCCUCUCUGCUUCUACCUCCCUGUCCCCGAGAACUAACCAACUUGUUUGUUUCCUGGUUUUGUCUGUCUUGUGUUUCUUGUUGUAAAGAUAAACUGGUGUUUCUAUGGUUUCUCAUUUCUUCUUUCUUAUAUGAAAGGUAGCACAGUAUAUAUUCUUAAAAGCAUCUGAUUAUUUUAAAAAAUUAAAUAAAGUCCACACUUUAAUUUCUUCAGUUUUUCUUUUCUGCCCAUUUUUUUUGUUUGUUUGUUUGUUUGUUUGGUGAUCCCAUCCAGGACACUGCAUUAUAUUUAGUAGUUGUGUCUCCUAGGCUCACCUAGGCUCUGGUGGUUGCAUCUUACUUUUUGAGAUAUAUAGGUGAUGGAUGGGGAAGAGAAAGAGGAAGGUCCAGGAGUUAGGUCUCUGUCCCCCAAAUGUUAUUUACCACAUUCAGGAUUUUUAUCAUAUCCUCAUGCUGCACAUGUUACCACAUUUAUUUAAUACUUUAAAAAAUGUUCAUUAAAAUUUCUUUAUUGAGGUAUGGUCGAAUUACAGUAUUGUGUUAAUUUCUGCUGUAAAGCAAAAUGCUUCAGUUAUACAUACUUGUUUUCUUUUUCAUAUUCUUUUCCAUUAUGGUUUAUCACAGGAUAUUGAAUAUAGUUCCCUGCUUCAUUUUUUUAACCAUAGGAUAUUUUAUAAGAAAACUUUACAUCACUACCAUAAAUUGUCUCAUUAUUACUUGUCCACUUGUAUUUCUUGAGAGUUGGGUAAAAAUUGCAACCUUUCGAAGUUUAAGAAGUUCAACAAGACAGAGUUCCCUGGUGGACUAGUGGGUUAAAAAUCUGGUAUUGUCCCUGCUGUGGCUUGGGUUUGAUCCCUGGCC
rnacentral:lncRNA from 1 species